GUGUCAGCAGCCGCGGUAAUACGGAGGAUCCAAGCGUUAUCCGGAAUCAUUGGGUUUAAAGGGUCCGUAGGCGGGCCUGUAAGUCAGUGGUGAAAUCUCCCCGCUCAACGGGGAAACUGCCAUUGAUACUGCAGGUCUUGAAUUAUUGGGAAGUAACUAGAAUAUGUAGUGUAGCGGUGAAAUGCUUAGAGAUUACAUGGAAUACCGAUUGCGAAGGCAGGUUACUACCGAUGGAUUGACGCUGAUGGACGAAAGCGUGGGGAGCGAACAGGAUUAGAUACCCUGGUAGUCC
rnacentral:rRNA from 1 species